GAGGAACUGCGUGCAAAAAUUGAUUACUUUGAUGCAGAAGAAGAAUCAAGACAUCUUACUCCAUGAGAACAAGAUGAGCGAGUGCAUCUCCAGAUGAACCUCAAUUCUAUUUUGAAACUAGGGGAAGUCUUAUGGAACUAGCAUUCUAGAAUGCAAUGGUUGCGUAAUGGUGAUCGUAACACAAAGUAUUUUCAUGUUUGGGCGAGGAAUAGAAAAAGAAAGAAUACCAUCUUUGAACUUUGGGAAGAUGGUCGUAUAGUCGUCAAUCAACAAAAAUUUCAAUCAACUUUUUUUACUUACUACUCAGGAUUACUUGGUUCAUCAGAAAACCGACUCGUGCAAGU
rnacentral:lncRNA from 1 species